rnacentral:rRNA from 1 species
UCAGCCACAUUGGGACUGAGACACGGCCCAAACUCCUACGGGAGGCAGCAGUGGGGAAUAUUGGACAAUGGGCGCAAGCCUGAUCCAGCCAUGCCGCGUGAGUGAUGACGGCCUUAGGGUUGUAAAGCUCUUUCGCUCGGGACGAUAAUGACGGUACCGAGAUAAGAAGCCCCGGCUAACUUCGUGCCAGCAGCCGCGGUAAUACGAAGGGGGCUAGCGUUGUUCGGAAUUACUGGGCGUAAAGCGCGUGUAGGCGGGUCUUUAAGUCAGGGGUGAAAUGCCAAGGCUCAACCUUGGAACUGCCUUUGAUACUGGAGAUCUUGAGUCCGGAAGAGGUGAGUGGAAUUGCGAGUGUAGAGGUGAAAUUCGUAGAUAUUCGCAAGAACACCAGUGGCGAAGGCGGCUCACUGGUCCGGAACUGACGCUGAGACGCGAAAGCGUGGGGAGCAAACAGGAUUAGAUACCCUGGUAGUCCACGCUGUAAACGAUGGAUGCUAGCCGUUGGGGAGCUUGCUCUUCAGUGGCGCAGCUAACGCUUUAAGCAUCCCGCCUGGGGAGUACAGUCGCAAGAUUAAAACUCAAAGGAAUGACGAA